CCCAAGAACACCAUCUCCACCGCCAAACAUGGAGGUGUAAACAUUAUGCUUUGGGGAUGUUGUUCUGCUAAGAGGACAGGACAACUGCACUGCAUCAAAGGGACAAUGGACGGGGCCAUGUACCGUCAAAUCUUGGGUGUGAACCUCCUUCUCUCAGCCAGGGCAUUGAAAAUGGGUAGUGGAUGGGUAUUCCAGCAUGAUAAUGAUCCAAAACACAAAGCCACGUCAACAAAGGAGUGGCUCAAGAAGAAGCACAUUAAGGUCCUGGAGUGGC